GGAAGGGCGCAAAAGAUCUGCCUUGUCACACCCUCAAAACGUUCUGACCCUUUGACCUCUUCUAACUGUGACCGGGACAUUCUUAUUGGUCCCAUUUUUGCUUAAGAUAUUUUUGGUUGUUAUUUUUUUGUUUGUCAUAUUUUUGGUGUGAUUUUUCUGUCGUGAUAUUAAUGUCCGUGAAAAAAAGUACUGUAACAUUAACGACUAAAAGAGUAUACGAUAUCAUUGUGAAGUAAAAAGAGAAAAUCAAAAAAUAGAAAGACGACAACGCUGCCUAUUGGAAGUGAACCCUCCGUUAUGAAUAGUCUCAUACGGAGCAAAGGCCAAGAAAAUGUUUUGGACUUGAAAUAACAACAGUGGUACUACGCAUUUCUUACGUUAAUCCAGAUCGUCUGGCAAUUUUUCUGAGUCUCCUAAAAAUCGUGGGACAUGGGUGGAGCAGAGCAAAUUGAGAAAAUCGGACGACUACGAAGCUUUCAUAUGGAACCGGAAAUGAACGAAUGUUCAGGCAGCGGAUCUAUCUUGCUGAGUUAUCAAUAGCCGAUCGGCGAAUGAUUCAUUUACCUCGAGAAU